AAUUACAGAAUAAGGGUCAGAGUGCACAAUGAAAUCCACUUCCAAGUUAAAAGUAUUCACUCUGCAGGUGUUAUGUUAUCCCAGUACUACUGUUGUGUCCCGGUUUCAAUCAAAAUGGAUCUAUUAAGAAACAUUAAAAAGAACAUGCAGGCAAAUAAUACUGGUAAAGUUACUUACAAGGCAAUGUUGAAGAAGACAACGAAGCUAGUAUUGUGGAAAAAAGCUGAUUGAGGGAUGGACCUUCCCUUGUACGGGUAAAA